rnacentral:ncRNA from 1 species
AAAUGGGACCCAGUGGGCUUUAUGCAAGAGGGAAUGCUGAAAAAGCUCCAGUGCUUCUGCAGAUACUCAUGCCAAAUACUCCCUACCUGGUGUCCUGAGGCAAGCCCAGGGAGGACAGAAACUUGGGCAGCAUAAAGGGCAAAAGUACACUUAAUCUUGAUUUUCAAUGGGAAUACAGGCCAUACUAGUGUGGCCUCAGGAUUGUGUGACUUUCUAGGUUUUAAGCAAGAGAUGUCAGAAAAGUUACCACAGAGAAAACCACCCUGUGGCAGUCAAGUAUUAGCAAAGUUACUUCAACGCUUUGAUGUCGUCUUUUCCUCUCACCACAAAACAGAAUUCAAGCGUUGGUCGGUUCACCCAUUAACAAUGAACACGAGCUGGGUGUAGACUACCAUGAGACAAGUUAGUUUUAC